GGAGAUGCGACCCGGUUCAAGGAGGCGCUGCUAGGGCCUCCAGCCGUUAGUAGCAGAACAGAGCUCUAGGUGCGCCCGGGGCGCGGCGCCGGCGCCUGAUUCCCAGCUCGCCCGCACAGCCGGAGACUUGGGUUCUCUGUAGCUGCACGACUCGGCUCCCAGGAUUCGCUCUGGAGAAGAGUUGGUGAUAAAAGUUUGAGCAGAAAUACCCCGGACGUACGCUCCUUUCAUCCCCAGCGGUCAGCACUGGUGUCCCCUCCUAGGACGCGAGCAGCACCGCCCAACAGCGCUGUGUGCAGCGGGAACCCAGUUCUGAAGCCUUGGCCCUGGUGCUAGCCCAUUCCAGCGGGUUUGUGGUUUCUCCCUCAAGGAGGAAGUAAUAAAUCUUUCUGGGCCCGGGGUCACUGAAGAGGCUUCAGAGUAUGCCUCUCCGCAACCUUUCCGAGUGUCCUGGAUUUGGACAAGGCCACAAGGUUUCGAUGAUCCCACCCCCACCUCCUGCCCGGCAGAUGUUCUAGGCUUGUGGAGUUUCCACCUCUGCUGACACCCUCUGAGACAGGGCUGCUGGGGGGAGGGGAGGGCGCUUUGUUUAAAUUUGUGGUGUGAUAGUGAGUCCAUUGACUUUAAAGAGGAAGAGAUGAGAUCAAAGAACUUGAUCGCAAAGGAAAACGUUUUUGGACGUUGAAAGUUACUUUUUAGUUUGGUCUGCGUUGGUUUGUAUACUUUUCUUUCGCUGAUGAGGGAAUAAACUUCCAUUGUAAAAUGGGACAGCUACAGGAUGGGUGGAGGUUAGAGGGCACAUAGGAAAGAUUGUACUCCAGUUUCCACCUAGAAGGGCAGAAAGAUGAGUCAUUGCGGUCCGGAGGUGAACUACUGAUCACUGGGAGACUGAUUGCCCCCCGUCUCUCAGAAGCUUUUACAAGUAAAACAUAAUUACUGCAAAAUUAUCAUAGUCUACCUGGAGCAGCCCACCUCGGCUGAUGACCCUCCUAAAUUUAAAGCGUUGCCAUUGACGACUUUUUUUUUUUUCAGGGUAUUGUACAGAAUCUUCUGGGUACAGGGAUUGUUGAAAAAAAAAUGACUUAAUUCAAUUG
rnacentral:lncRNA from 1 species